GAUGAACGCUAGCGGCAGGCUUAACACAUGCAAGUCGAGGGGUAUAGUUCUUCGGAGCUAGAGACCGGCGCACGGGUGCGUAACGCGUAUGCAAUCUACCUUUUGCAGAGGGAUAGCCCAGAGAAAUUUGGAUUAAUACCUCAUAGUAUGUGAGAAUGGCAUCAUUUUCACAUUAAAGUCACAACGGCAAAAGAUGAGCAUGCGUCCCAUUAGCUUGUUGGUAAGGUAACGGCUUACCAAGGCAACGAUGGGUAGGGGUCCUGAGAGGGAGAUCCCCCACACUGGUACUGAGACACGGACCAGACUCCUACGGGAGGCAGCAGUGAGGAAUAUUGGACAAUGGGCGCAAGCCUGAUCCAGCCAUGCCGCGUGCAGGAUGACGGUCCUAUGGAUUGUAAACUGCUUUUGUACAGGAAGAAACACUGGUUCGUGAACCAGCUUGACGGUACUGUAAGAAUAAGGAUCGGCUAACUCCGUGCCAGCAGCCGCCGUAACAC
rnacentral:rRNA from 1 species